CGCGCCGCCGUUACCACGCCCCCGUGACCGCUUCCCGCCGCCCGGCCCCUCUCGGCCGCUGAGCGGAGGCUCCGCCCCCCUCCCGCCGCCCCGGGCACCGCGAUUGGCCACCGCCCCCUGUCACUCAGCCUGCCGCUGUGUUUACGGAAGUGCUGUCAGGCCGCGGCGGGGGUUGGCGCGCAGUGGUUGGAGAGGCGGAGGUGUCGUGUUCGAGUCCCGCCUCGGCAGGUCUCAGGCAGCAAUGGCGUGGGGUGGUUUAGUUGUUUUUGUCCGGCCUAGAUACAUUCCUGAGGAAAAUCUGUGUGGGCUUGUGAGGGCUAAUGGUUCUUCUCCAAAAUUUACUGUUUGAAUAAAGGACCCUUCAUCUGAAGGUAUUGUUUGUAUUCAGAUCCUUGGCAAAAAGUAGAGAGAGAGAUACCAGGACAGUUGCAGACAGAUUAUGAGUUUUGAGUCUUAACCUGCUGCUGAUGGAGCCAACAACAGAAGUUCAACUGACUUUAACCACAGAGACUCAGACCCUGAAAGACCAGCACAGGAAAAAGAGAUGCGUGAAGAGAUACAUAAGAGAAAAAGAGAAAGCAUGUUUCCUUGGGUCUUCUUUGAAAUAGAUACAUAAUAUAAUUUAAAAUGUAACUUUUAUUUUAGAUUUACACAUUUGGACUAUAUGAAAAAACUAGAUCACAUGCAGAGGAAUUGUUAAAAUAAUUAAAAUAGAAGAUGGAUUUUCACUUUAAA